CUGUUUUCUCCUCGGUUUGGAGCCUGGUGACCGUGACUUCCCCGCCAUGUUCUGUGUGUUGCUGGCUGGAGAAGGGUAGUUGACAAACUCCGACCCAGCACAGUGUUUCUGUGGGUCAAAACUAGAAAACUAUGUCCGGGCUCCGCCGAGGCGGAAGGAUCCCUUCAGGCCAGGAGUUAAAGAGCGGCCUGGGCAACAUGGCGCGACUCCAUCUCUGUAGUCCCUCCUCAGCUUCCCAGAUACUUGAACCCCAAGGUUCAAGGCUGCAAUGAGCUAUGAUCCCAUCACAGCACUCUAUCCUGCGAGACUGAAGUAAACCUUGUCUAAAAAAAUAAACUAUCCAAGUGUGCAACAGGGAGGGACCGCUUAAAGAAAACAUGAGACGGGGUUUCACCAUGUUGGCCAGGCUGGUCUGGAACUCCUGACCUGAAGUGAUCUGCCCACCUCGGCUUCCCAAAGUGCUGGGACUGCAGGUGUGAGCCACUGCGCCUGGCCCCUUCAGGUGGGUUUUGAGGCUUCACGUUGCUGCUGCAAUAAAUUACCACACACUUAGUGGCUUAAAACAGCACAGAGGUAUUCCCUUACAUUUCUGAAGGCCAGAAUUCUAAAAUCAGUCCCACUGAGUCAAGGUGGGAGCAGGGUCAGUGCCUUCCCAGGCUCUGCGGGAGAAUCUGUUUCCUGGCCCUGGAGGCGGCCUGUACUCCUUAGCUUGUGCUGCCCUUCUGGAAUGACUCGAGUUUCCUGCUUUCAUCACUACACCUCCCACCGCUCUCCAUCACCUGCUGUGCUCUUACGAGGAUCCAGUUUUCAGAGAAAUGGAAUAAUUGUAUUGCUGAUCUACGUAAACAAGUUGAAGAAUUGUCUGAAAGAAAAUAUGGUGUGUCUGAACUGGAAAAGUCCUGUGAUAGUUUGUUCAUGAGCAUUUACACAAUGGAGUUACUGUUCAUCAUGGGGGUACUGUGGACAAGCCCAGGGCUGCUGUUUCACUCUUGUUGCCC
rnacentral:lncRNA from 1 species